GCCCCGAUAGCUCAGCCGGAUAGAGCGUCCCCCUCCUAAGGGGAAGGCCGCUGGUUCGAAUCCAGCUCGGGGCG
rnacentral:tRNA from 3 species